CCGGGCCCUACGGGGCGCAGCAGGCGCGAAACCUUUACACUGCACGCCAGUGCGAUAAGGGGACUCCCAGUGCGAGGGCAUAUCGUCCUCGCUUUUGUGUACCGUAGGGAGGUACACGAAUAAGGGCUGGGCAAGACCGGUGCCAGCCGCCGCGGUAAUACCGGCAGCCCAAGUGAUGACCGCUAUUAUUGGGCCUAAAGCGUCCGUAGCCGGCCACGCAAGUCCGUCGGGAAAUCCGCACGCCUAACGUGCGGGCGUCCGGCGGAAACUGCCUGGCUUGGGACCGGAAGACCAGAGGGGUACGUCCGGGGUAGGAGUGAAAUCCCGUAAUCCUGGACGGACCACCGGUGGCGAAAGCGCCUCUGGAAGACGGAUCCGACGGUGAGGGACGAAAGCUCGGGUCACGAACCGGAUUAGAUACCCGGGUAGUCCGAGCCGUAAACGAUGUCUGCUAGGUGUACCACUGGCUACGAGCCAGUGGUGUGCCGUAGGGAAGCCGUGAAGCAGACCGCCUGGGAAGUACGUCCGCAAGGAUGAAACUUAAAGGAAUUGGCGGGGGAGCACUAC
rnacentral:rRNA from 1 species